ACUAUGGACAAUUUAUGUAUAAAUGGAAAAACAGGUCUUCAGUUGUUCAAGAAAACCAGCACUGUUAUACAGAAAACAAUGAAUGAAUCCUUCUUUCCUGCAUGUUUGUAGAAUAUGUGAGUUCUGCUGACCUCAAAUCACUCUCACUUUAGGAAGCUGUGAAAAACUAUUCCUAAACUUCCCACUGAAGCUGUACCAACUUGCAGAAUGAAACAGAGCUGUCUUGGCUACUGAUGGGGCAUACUGCUGAUUCCAGAAAAUCUGGAGAGAAUUCAGGGCACACAGACUGGUUUGCCUUCAGCCAAGAUGAAAAAGCCUGAAUUCAUUUCUCCAGAUUGGAAGAUUAAGAGAUGCAGUGUCAGCCCAGAUCCUGCCUGGGAGAGCUUUGCUGUGGUGGCAAAUCUUUGUGCAGGGGCACAGAUGUUCUGCACCAUGCAGGGGACCUGGGAUGUGCAGCACCCAUGGAUUUGGAGCAUGCUGGAUGUUGGGAAUCUCCUCUGAGGCAGCCACAGCCACCUCCCAUUUCCAGCCUUCUCACCAGCUAUCAUGGGAUUAAUAAGAUACAUUGUCCCCAGGAAAAU
rnacentral:lncRNA from 1 species